rnacentral:lncRNA from 1 species
UUCAUCCCUCGCCUGCGGAGCAGCAUCGUCAGCGUCGGGCAGCUCGACGAGAGUGCCUGCAAGUCCGUGAUCGUGAGCGGCGCGUUCACUCUCAAUGAUCGACGCGGAAAGGUGUCCGCGCGCACCUCGCGAGCACGCAACUGCCUCUACCCCUACGACAUGCAGCUGGCCCAGCCGGUGUUCCUGGCCGUGGACACCAGCACAGACGAGGCGUGCCGUUGGCACGCUAGGUAUGGACACAUGAAUUUCAACAUGGUAUUAGAGUUAGGUCAAUUUUUUCCACGUUGCAACUUGUGCGAUUGAUCCUCUGUGGCCGCCGCCACUGCUUCUCUCUCUCGUAGCCGCUGCUUCUCCACGUCCUCCCCGCUCCUUCUGGAUCGAAGCUAUUGGAAUCCCUCUGGAUCGAAUCCAUCAGGAAUCAAAGGAAGCCACCCGUCUCCUCCGGUUUGACUCCAUCGAGCCUACCGAGGAUCGUCGUUGUUGCUGCCGGUCUCCGCCCUGUGCAGCCCCUUGUCGGACUUUGCCGCCGACCGCCGGAUCCCGCGCUCCUCACCGCCGGCCGCCAGAUCCCUCGCUCCUCGCCGCCGGCCGCCGGAUCCCGCGCUCCUCGCCACCGGCCGCCGGAUCCUGUGCUCCUCGCCGUCAGUUGCCAGGUUCAAUCGUCCCCAGCCACAAGAUCGGGCCGCCUCGUUGCAGUUCUGCUGCUGUUGCUAGCUCUCGCCCGAUCCGCCUGUUGCGAGUGCUAACUGCGGUUAGCAUCAGGCGCCUCUUCUGUUUGCCUAGUGAUUGCUAGCUAAAAAAAAUUAUGCCUUCCGCUUGUCCAUCCGUGGCGUUUGAGGGUGUUUCCUACCCUGCUUUCGUCUCGCCCAUGCGUCGUUUCUCGGUUCAGCAUGGUGCUCGUUCGUCUGUGACGUCCUUCUGUCUGCGGUCUUCCGCCAACUGUGUGGGUCGCUCUUCUAUGACUCUUGUGACCUCCACACAUGGUGAUUGUCAAUCUACAUUGAUUCCUUCCGUGACUUCUACCGGUGAUUGUCACUCCGCCAACUGUGUAGGUCACUCUUCUACGACUCCUGCGACCUCCACGCCUGGUGAUUAUCGAUCUACAUCGACUCUUCCUGUGACUCCUAUCGGUGAUUGUCACUCUACAUCGACUCUUUCCGUGACUUCUAUUGGUGAUUGUCACUCUACACCGACUCCUCUCAUCGACUGUAUUGGUGCAUAUGACUUCAUCGACACACGCCUUCCCUUGGCGCUUGGGACUCGUCUGUGUGCGCCCUCGUCUCCUUCAUCAACUCUUGUGGGUGCUACUGGUUAUGCUACACGGCGACAUCUAGCGGCUUCCACAGGCGGUGGUGGUUGCUCCUCUCCCUAUGCUACUACGCCACCUACUUCAGCUGUGUACUUCACCGAGGACAAGAUUACGCGAGUUCGCGCCCUGCUGAUUGCCUCCGGCUCUCUAUUGUCGGGUGCGUCUAUAUCGACAUCUUCAGUUGCGCCCCUGACUGAGCAGGAGAUUGGGCGAUUUCGAUGUCUGCUCGCUCCACCUUCUGGUUCUUCAUCGACAGGUUCUGUUGGUUCUGCUGCGGACUCUUCUGGCAUUGUGAGACCACCUUCUACACAAGCAGGUACAUCUCCGUGGAUUCUUGAUACUGGAGCAUCUUUUCAUAUGACUCAUGAUUCAUCAACUCUGUCAUCUACUCGACCUCUUGGUUCUCAUGUUCAUGUUCUUACUGUUGAUGGUACUUCUCUCCCGUUUACUGGCCGAGGCACUCUUAGCACUUCAUCUUUUCAUGUUCUCGAUGUUGCUCGUGUUCCUCGGCUUACCAUGCAGCUCAUUUCUGGUGGUAAUAUUGUUGACUCUGGUUGUCGGGUCAUUCUUGACUUUGACUCAUGUUCAGUUCUGGACCGUCACGCUGGUGCUCUUCUUGGUGCUGGCCCCCGGCGCCGUGACUCUCAGGGUCUCUAGGAGCUUGACUGGCUUCACCUUCCAUCCGCUGCCACCGCAGCCAGUCUCUCCACCUCUGUUGCCUUGUCUACCAGCUCUUUUCAGCAGUGGCAUCAUCGUCUGGAUCAUUUAUGUGGCUCUCGUCUCUCAUCCUUAGUUCGACGUGGUCUUCUUGGAUCCGUCUCCGGUGGUGUGUCUUUAGACUGUCAGGGUUGCCGGCUUGGUAAACAGGUUCAGUUACCUUAUACUCAUAAAGAGACUGUGUCUCAAUGUCCUUUUGACCUUGUUCACUCUAAUGUUUGGGGUCUAGCUCCCUUUGCCUCGAAGGGAGGCCAUCGCUACUAUAUUAUCUUCAUAGAUGAUUUCUCUCGACACACGUGGAUCUAUUUCAUGUCUUCUCGUAGUGAGGUCUUAUCUAUCUAUAAGUGUUUUGCUGCCAUGGUUCACACUCAGUUCUCUACGCCUAUUCGUGUGUUCCGUGCUGACUCUGCUAGAGAGUAUAUCUCCAAGAUGUUGCGUGGAUUUCUCGCUGAGCAGGGUACACUUGUUCAGUUCUCUUGUCCUGGUGCUCAUGCACAGAAUGGUGUGGCUGAGCGCAAGCAUCGUCACCUUCUUAAGACGGCUCAUGCGAUGAUGAUCGUUGCCUCUCUUCCGCCUCACUUUUGGGCUGAGGUUGUCUCCACUUCCACCUAUCUCAUCAACCUUCAGCCAUACGUUGCCUUGUAGGGUGGCGUUCCUUUCGAGCGUCCCUUUGAUCGUUCUUCCGAUUACUCGGCGCUUCGUUUGUUUGGUUGUGUUUGUUAUGUUCUUCUUGCCCCUCGCGAACGCACCAAACUGACCGCUCAGUCCGUUGAGUGUGUCUUCUUAGGCUAUAGUGAUGAGCAUAAGGGCUAUCGUUGUUGGGAUCCUAUCGGUCGUCGGAUGUGUAUUUCUCGGGAUGUGACUUUUGAUGAGUCUCGUCCCUUCUACCCGCGCCCAUCUUCCUCAACCUUUUCAGUGGAGGAUAUCUCUUUCCUCACUUUUCCUGACACACCUAUCACCCCCAUCGAGCCUUUGUCUAUUCGUUCUGCUACCUUUACUUCUCCACCUCUUACCGAUUUGCCGCCACCAUCUCCCACGGUUUCCUCACCUAGCAUUUCGCCAGAUUAUGCACCUUCAUCUCCGAUGACUUCUUCGUCUCCACCCCCUGAUUCUACCUCAGCGAUUCCUCCUUGUAUUCUUCUGUUCCUCAGUAUUUCACUCGUCGUUCACGAAAUGUGGUUGCCUCUGCGGAUGUGUCGUCCUCCUUGUCUCAGACUACCUAUGAUUUGCGCCCUCGUCCUCGUCCGCCUGUUGAUCGCCUUGGAUUUCCCACCGCUGGUGCUGCUGUUCUUGAGCCGACUUCUUAUCGUCAGGAUGUUGUUCAUCCCGAAUGGCAGUUUGCGAUGGCAGAGGAGAUUGCUGCUUGAACGCACUGGUACAUGGGAUCUUAUUUCUCUUCCUCCCGGUGUCCGUCCCAUCACUUGUAAGUGGGUCUACAAGGUUAAGACUCGCUCUGAUGGUUCUCUUGAGCAUUACAAAGCUCGUCUUAUGGCUCGUGGCUUUCAGCGGGAGCAUGGUCGUGAUUACAACGAGACUUUUGCUCCUAUGGCCCAUAUGACCACUAUUCGUACACUUCUUACCGUGGCCUCUGCACGCCACUGGUCUGUAUCUCGGCUUGAUGUUAAGGAUACCUUUCUUAAAGGUGAGCUGCGUGCGGAGGUGUACAUGCAGCCACCACCUGGGUAUUCUGUUCCUGAUGGCAUGGUAUGUCGUCUUCGUCGCUCUCUCUAUGGCCUUAAGCAAGUCCCCUGCGCCUGGUUUGAGCGUUUUGCCUCUGUGGUGACUGCCGCUGGUUUUUCAGCAAGUGCUCAUGAUCCAGCAUUGUUUGUCCACCUUUAUCCUCGUGGUCGGACUCUUCUUCUUCUCUAUGUUGAUGACAUGAUCAUCACUGGUGAUGACCCCGAGUAUAUUGCCUUUGUAAAAGCCCAUCUUAGUGAGCAGUUUCUUAUGUCUGAUCUUGGACCACUUCGCUACUUUCUUGGGAUUGAAGUCUCUUCUACCUCUGAUGGCUUUUUUAUAUCCCAGGAAAAGUAUAUCCAGAAUCUUCUUGCUCAUGCUGCUCUUACUGACGAGCGCAUUGUUGAGACUCCCAUGGAGCUGAAUGUUCACCUCCGUGAUACUGAUGGUGACCCCCUGCCUGACCCGACGCGUUAUCGUCAUCUUGUUGGCAGUCUUGUCUAUCUAGCUGUCACUCGUCCGGAUAUCUCUUAUCAGGUUCAUAUUCUGAGUCAGUUUGUCUCCGCUCCCACCUCGGUUCACUAUAGUCACCUCCUUCAUGUUCUCCGAUAUCUUCAGGCACGAUCUCUCACUGUCUAUUCUUUCCUUGCUCCAGUUCUUUACAGCUUCAGGCCUAUUCGGAUGCUACAUGGGCUAGUGAUCCUUCAGAUCGCCGUUCACUUUCUGCUUACUAUGUUUUUCUUGGUGGUUCUCUCAUUGCCUGGAAGACAAAGAAACAGACCGCGGUUUCCCGUUCGAGUGCAGAGGCUGAGUUGCGAGCUAUGGCUCUUUUGACGGCAGAGGUGACUUGGUUACGGUAGUUACUUCAAGAUUUUGGUGUUUCUGUCACUACACCUGCUCUGCUCUUAUCUGACAGUACAGGUGCUAUCAGCAUUGCGCGCGAUCCUGUGAAGCAUUAGCUCACCAAGCAUAUUGGUGUUGAUGCUUUCUAUGUGCACGCUGGUGUGCAGGAUCAGGUUAUUGCUCUUCAGUAUGUGCCUUCCGACUUAUAGUUGGCGGAUUUCCUGACGAAGGCCCAGACGAGCGCAACAUAGCUUCUAUCUCUCCAAACUCAGUGUUGUUCAUCCACCAUGAAUUUGAGGGGGGUGUUAGAAUAUAUAUAAUAUAGCCAUGUACCCUUUUGUACUUAUCCCAUUGUAUAAGGGGUUUCCUGCAUAUAUUCCACACCUGUACAUGUAUAUAUAUCGGCCUAUGGCCUCAUGGGAAUACAAGUUGUAUAUUUCCUAACAAGCCACACCAUUCUGAGCAUGAGCACCAGAGCAGGAGAACUGAGUAAGAGUACCCUGCUCAGCAAGAAAUCCUCUUAGCGCAUGACAGAUAUACUCACCAGCUGAAUUUGCGCGAAAAACACGAAUAGGAGUGGAAAACUGGGUAUGAACCAUGGCAGCAAAUUUUUUGUAUAUAGAUAAGACCUCACUACGAGAAGACAUGAAAUAGAUCCAAGUGUACCGAGAAAAAUCGCCUAUAAAGAUAAUAUAGUAGCGNAUAAUAUAGUAGCGAUGACCCCCUUUUGAAGCGAAGGGAGCCGGGCCCCAAACAUCAGAGUGAACGAGAUCAUAAGGACGCUCGGAUACUGACUCACUAUGAGGGUAGGGUAGCUGAAUCUGCUUACAAAGUCUACAACCCAGACAAUCCAACAAAGCGUUCCAGGAGACAGACCCCAGAACACCGCGAUGAACCAAAGACAAGAGACGAGAACCACAUAACUGGCCAAGACGAUGAUGCCACUGCUGAAAAGAGUUGGUAGAUGCAGCUACAGGGGCUGCGAGACUGGCAGCGGUGGCAACAGAGGAAAGACGAAGCCAGUCAAGCUCCCAGAGACCAUCAGAGCGUCGAGGGCCAGCACCAAGCAGAGCACCCAUGUGACGAUCCUAAACAAAACACAAAUCAAAGUCGAGAAUGACCCUACAACUAGAGUCAACAAUCUGACCACCAGAUAUGAGUUGCAUGGUAAGUCGAGGAACAUGAGCGACAGAGGGCACAUGAAAUGAAGAAGUGCUAAGAGUGCCUCGACUAGCUACAGGUAGGGGAGUGCCAUCAGUCGUAAGAACACAAACUGGAGACUCGACGAGUCGAACAGAGGUCGAACUGGACGAAUUAUAAGUCAUAUGAAAAGACACUCCAGUAUCAAGAAUCCAUGGGGAUGUAUCUAAAUGAGUAGAUGGUGGUUUCUCAAUGCCAGAAGAGUCAGCCAUGGAAACUGCAGAACCUAUCGAUGAAGAA